AUUGAACGCUGGCGGCAUGCCUUACACAUGCAAGUCGAACGGUAACAGGCCGCAAGGUGCUGACGAGUGGCGAACGGGUGAGUAAUGCAUCGGAACGUGCCCAGUCGUGGGGGAUAACUGCUCGAAAGAGCAGCUAAUACCGCAUACGACCUGAGGGUGAGAGCGGGGGACCGAAAGGCCGCGCGCGAUUGGAGCGGCCGAUGUCAGAUUAGGUAGUUGGUGGGGUAAAGGCCUACCAAGCCGACGAUCUGUAGUUGGUCUGAGAGGACGACCAGCCACACUGGGACUGAGACACGGCCCAGACUCCUACGGGAGGCAGCAGUGGGGAAUUUUGGACAAUGGGGGCAACCCUGAUCCAGCAAUGCCGCGUGCAGGAAGAAGGCCUUCGGGUUGUAAACUGCUUUUGUUAGGGAAGAAAUCCUGUGGGUUAAUACCUCGUGGGGAUGACGGUACCUGAAGAAUAAGCACCGGCUAACUACGUGCCAGCAGCCGCAGUAACAC
rnacentral:rRNA from 1 species